CAGCCGCCACGGUAAUACGAAGGGGGCUAGCGUUGUUCGGAUUUACUGGGCGUAAAGCGCACGUAGGCGGAUCGAUCAGUCAGGGGUGAAAUCCUGGAGCUCAACUCCAGAACUGCCUUUGAUACUGUCGAUCUCGAGUCCGGAAGAGGUGAGUGGAACUCCUAGUGUAGAGGUGGAAUUCGUAGAUAUUAGGAAGAACACCAGUGGCGAAGGCGGCUCACUGGUCCGGUACUGACGCUGAGGUGCGAAAGCGUGGGGAGCAAACAGGAUUAGAUACCCGUGUAGUCCCUGUCUCUUAUAA
rnacentral:rRNA from 1 species